rnacentral:rRNA from 1 species
UAAUACGUAGGGUGCGAGCGUUAAUCGGAAUUACUGGGCGUAAAGCGUGCGCAGGCGGUUCGUUGUGUCUGUCGUGAAAGCCCCGGGCUUAACCUGGGAAUGGCGAUGGAAACUGACGAGCUUGAGUGUGGCAGAGGGGGGUGGAAUUCCGCGUGUAGCAGUGAAAUGCGUAGAGAUGCGGAGGAACACCGAUGGCGAAGGCAGCCCCCUGGGCUAGCACUGACGCUCAGGCACGAAAGCGUGGGGAGCAAACAGGAUUAGAUACCCUGGUAGUCCACGCCCUAAACUAUGUCAACUGGGUGUUCGGGAAGCGAUUCCUGAGUACCGUAGCUAACGCGUGAAGUUGACCGCCUGGGGAGUACGGCCGCAAGGUUA